UAACGGUCCUAAGGUAGCGAAAUUCCUUGUCGGGUAAGUUCCGACCCGCACGAAAGGCGUAACGAUUUGGGCACUGUCUCAACGAGAGACUCGGUGAAAUCAUAGUACCUGUGAAGAUGCAGGUUACCCGCGACAGGACGGAAAGACCCCGUGGAGCUUUACUGUAGCCUGAUAUUGAAAUUCGGCACAGCUUGUACAGGAUAGGUAGGAGCCUUUGAAACGUGAGCGCUAGCUUACGUGGAGGCGCUGGUGGG
rnacentral:rRNA from 1 species